rnacentral:lncRNA from 1 species
AAUAUAAAUCCUACAAGAGUGGGAUUUGUCUCCAUUGUAUUUGUAUUUAAAGGGCUGUUUAGUCGUGUAUUAGAAGGGAGAAUCAUCAAUUGAUACACAUUCAUCAUAUUGAUUUAUCAAAUUGGGUCAUCGUGUGAAUAGAUCAUUUAAUUUUAACAUAAUGGGUGCUUGGUAAAGUGACGAUAGAGAUUCUGUUAUAAACAUAAUUGAAUUGGUCAUUGGUAAGUGGCGGUCUGAAAUCUUUACUAUUGGUCUUUCUGCAGCAUCAUAUUUAGCUCAAAAUUUAUGCAUCUUUGUGCACUUUUUUUUCAGAUGGAGCAUGAGACUUAUCAACAAGGAAGUAGCAGCAGCAGCAGUGGGCAGAGCCAGAGGAGUGUGGUGGGAAGACAUAAUGGUGGGGGGCAAUGGAAACCAGCCUUACAGAGUAUUGCAGAGAUUGGAACUUGAACUCACUCACCCCAAGCAGAAGUGCCACUCCUAUCUCAAUUACUACAUAUUUUCCUACCUAGGCUAAGCCUUUCCAAAACAAGAAAUUGGCUUUUCUCAAAUGUUCCUACCACUCCUAUCUCAAUUACAUAUUUUCUUAGCUAGGCUAAGCCUUUCCAAAAUAAGAAAUUGGCUUUUCUCAAAUGUUCCUACUUUAGUUUAGAAAUUAUUUAGUACAAUGGGAGUUGAUGUUUGACAGACUCACUCUAAAGAAUUGUAGCUUAGCUUAUUUUCAAGUUUCACAUAAUUAAACAAUUACUGUCAUUUGUUUCUAUUCGCAAAAUCCUUGCAAAUUACUACAGAGCGAUCAACUAGCUAGAUAGGGAAAUUCCACAGCAAGUAUUAUGAUUGUGUCCUGCUUAUGUUUCAGGUUCUUCUGAGAUAAUUUGUUCAAUAUUUAGACGCUGUACCAAAAAUAUUUUUAGUAUUAAAGCGUAUGUAUUUUGGUGUAUAUAUGGAUAGUAACUAGUAUAUUGUAUGUUUAGGAUUAGGAGAGUUUUCCAUAUUUAUUAGGAAUAGG